AUUGUGGUUACCAAGAGUUGAUGGUGGAUGCCUUGGAAGAUUGAGGCGAAGAAGGACGUGGCGUGACUGCGAUAAGCCUCGGGGAGGUGUCAAGCAACCUGUGAACCGGGGAUGUCCGAAUGGGGAAACCUAAUUCUGCUUUAAAACAGAAUUGCCUGAUUCUUUAUGGAUCAGGAGCGCACCCAGGGAAGCAAAACAUUCUAGUACCUGGAGGAAAAUAGAACAAUAGUUAUUCCCUUAGUAGCGGCGAGUGAAAAGGGAGAUAGCCCAGAGCCUAGUUCUGCUUUUAGCAGGACUAAGCAGUUAAAAGAUAUUGAUGCCCCGUAGUUUCUUCUGAAACUUGCAAAAGCUUUUAGAGGAAACGACUGGAAGGAGUAAAAAAAUUAGUUGUUAGCCGAAAUUUUCUGGAACGCAAUACCAAAGAAGGUAAUAGUCCUGUAGGCGAAAA
rnacentral:rRNA from 1 species